rnacentral:piRNA from 1 species
CCACGGGACUCAGCAGUGAUAAAAA